rnacentral:tRNA from 1 species
AACAAGGUGCCUGAAAAAAAGGAUUAUUUUGAUAGAAUAAAUUAUGUAUUUAUAUACUCUUGUUA